rnacentral:sRNA from 1 species
UCAAGACAAAUGAAAGUAGGCUCUGAUAUUUAAAGGUAUCCAGAGCUAUGAAAUUCUCAGGGCCAAGAAACAGACAACCACUCUCUAGUUCUACUCAAUUUUCAAUUGAAAAUAACUAGAACCCCUCUCGAGACGAAAUGAAAGGAGAAGCCUAACCACGAGACUCCUGUCGGGCUGCUGUUUGUUUAACACCUCGUUCAAGGAUAGCGCGAACCAGAAAGAUGAUUUUUUACAGCAGACACUUAAAAAACACAGCGGAGCCAAGACAAAGUCAAAGUCAAGAAACCUGUUACAAUGGCUUGCAUAACGGAUCGCCACCAGAGCUGAGAAGAGCAGAGAAGAGCUGUAGGGAAAACCCCUUGCGGAGAACGCGGCAGCAUCCAGGCCAUUGUCACCGAUGCUGUUCGUAUAAUAAAAACUCUCUCGAGUGCUUGAAAGCCAGGCGGGAGGGAGACUCGGAACAGUUUGAAGUGGCCGCGAGAGUCCACCGUCUCCGACUGUGUCACCUAAAUGCGUUCCAGGAACGAGAGUGCCUCUCAAGACCAUUCAAUAAAUGAUUCUGGUCAAUGGCAGGGAGUGGCCACAAACGAAAUCCCAUUGAGAGAGAUGACCCGACAAUGAUAAAACCCGACUAUGCCCGGAAUGUGGUUGUGCCCUCGGCUAUUUAUGGAUUCAUUGGGUAAUUUCUAAGAAUUUUUCAUAAGCGUUUCUCCGUUUUUAUCACAUAACUGUUUGAUACGCAAAAUGUCGGCAUAUAAACGCAGCUGGUUAUAUGGAGGACCAAGGAGGAUAUGGAUGAGUUAUAGCUUUGGGGAGUCGAAACUGGGUAA